AUGUCCAUUUGUUCCAGGGUAUAGUUUAAAUCCAUUGUUUCUUUGUUGACUUUCUGUCUUGAUGACCUGUCUAGAGCUGUCAGUGGAGUAUUGAAGUUUCCCACUGUUAUUGUGUUGCUGUGUAUCUCAUUUCUUAGGUCUAGUAGUAAUUGUUUUAUAAAUUUGGGAGCUCCAGUGUUAGGUGCAUAUAUUUUUAGGACUGUGAUAUUUUCCUGUUGGACAAAGCGUUUUAUCAUUACAUAAUGUCCCCCUUUGUCUUUUUAAACUGCUGUUGCUGUAAAGUUUGUUUUAAUGAUAUAAGAAUAGCUACUUUUGCUUGCUGUUGGUGUCCAUUUGCAUGGAAUGUAUUUUCCCACCCCUUUACCUUAAGUUUAUGUGAGUCCUUAUGUGUUAGGUGAGUUUCUUGAAAGCAGCAACUAGUAGGUUGGUGAAUUAUCUAUUCUGCCAUUCUGUAUCUUUUAAAUGGAGCAUUUAGGCCACAUUCAAUGUUAGUAUUGGGAUGUAAGGUACUAUUCCAUUCAUUGUGCUAUUUGUUGCCUGUAUACCUUUUUUUAAUUGUAUUUUUGUUUUAUAGGUCCUGUGAGAUUUAUGCUUUUAGAGGUUUUGUUUUAUGUGUUUCCAGGAUUUGUUUCAAGAUUUAGCCCUCCUUUUGGCCGUUCUUGUAGUGCUGGCUUGAUAGUGGCAAAUUCUCUCAGUGUUAGUUUAUCUGAAGAAGACUGUAUCUUUCUUUCAUUUAUGAAGCUUAAUUUCACUGGAUACAAAAUUUUUGGCUGAUAGUUGUUUUGUUUAAGGAGGCUUAACAUAGGGCCCCAAUCCCUUCUAGCUUGUAGAAUUUCUGCUGAGAAAUCUGUUGUUAAUCUGAUAGAUUUUUAUAGGUUACCUGGUGCUUUUGCCUCACAGCUCUUAAGAUUCUUUCCUUUGUCUUAACUUUUGUUUUUUUUCUUUGAGAUGGAGUCUCGCUCUUUGCCCAUACUGGAGUGCAGUGGCGUAAUCUUGGCUCAGUGCAACCUUUACCUCCUGGGUUCAAGUGAUUCUCCUGCCUCAGCCUCCUGAAUAGCUGGGACUAAAGGCAUGUGCCACCACGCCCAGCUAAUUUUUGUAUUUUUAGUAUAGAUGGAGUUCUGCUAUGUUGGCCAAGCUAGUCUUGAACUCCUGGCCUCAAGUGAUCUGCCCACCUUGGCCUCCCAAAGUGCUGGGAUUACAGAUGUGAGCCACCGCGCCUUGCCUACUUUGUCUUAACUUUAGAUAACCUGAUGACAGUGUGCCUAGAUGGUGAUCUUUUUGUGAUGAAUCUCCCAGGUGUUCUUUGUGCUUCUUAUAUUUGGAUGUCUAGGUCUCUAGCAAGGCCAGUGAAGUUUCCCGGAUUAUUCCCCCAAAUAUGUUUUCCAAACUUUUAGAUUUCUCUUCUUUCCCAGGAAUGCCAAUUAUUCUUAGGUUUGGUCAUUUAACAUAUCUUCAAACUUCUUGGAGGCUUUGUUCAUUUUUUCUUAUUCUUUUUUCUGUGUCUUUGUUAGACUGGGUUAAUUCAAAAACCUUGUCUUUGAGCUCUGAAGUUCUUUCUUCUGCCAUGUUCAGUUCUAUUGCUGAGACUUUCCUGAGCAUUUUGCAUUUCUCUAAGUGCAUUUAUUUCCUGAAGUUUUAAUUGUUUUUUAUUUAUGCUCUCAAUUUCACUGAAGAUUUCCCCCCUCAUUUCUUAUAUCUUUUUUUGGUUUCCUUAAAUUGGACUUUACCUUUCUCUGGUGCCUCCUUGAUUAGCUUAUUAACUGACCUUCUGGAUUCUUUUUCAGGUAAAUCAAGGAUUUUUUCUUGGUUUGGAUUUAUUGCUGGUAAGCUAGUGUGAUUUUUGGGGGAUAUUAGCCUUGUUUUGUCGUAUUACCUGAAUUGUUUUUCUGGUUCUUUCUCAUUUGGGUAGGCUAUGUUAGAAGGAAGGUCUAGGGUUCAAGGCUGCUGUUCAGAUUCUUUUGUCCCAUGGGGUGUUCUCUUGAUGUAGUACUCUCUGUGUUUUCCUAGGGAUGUGGUUUCCUGAGGGCUAAGUUGUAGUGAUUGUUAUCUCUCUUCUGGAUCUAGCCAUCUGGUAGGUCUACCUGCUCCAGGCUGGUACUGGGGGAAGGAGGGGGUGUCUGCACAGAGUCCUGUGAUGUGAACUGUCUGCAGGUCUCUCAGCCAUGGAUACCAGCUCCUGUUCCAGUGGAGGUGGCAAGGGAGUGAAGUGGACUCUGCAAGGGUCCUUAGUUGUAAUUUUGUUUAUUGCACUAUUUUUGUGCUAGUUGGCCUCCUGCCAGGAGGUUGUGCUUUUAAGAGAGCAUCGGCUGUAGUAGUAUAGGGAGGAUCAGGUGGUAGGUGGGGCCCUAGAACUCCCAAGAGUAUAUGCCCUUUGUCUUCAGCUACCAGGGUGGGCAGGGAAGGACCAUCAGGUGGAGACAGGGCUAGGCGUAUCUGAGCUCAGACUCUCCUUGGGUGGGUCUUGCUGUGGCUGCUGUGGGGGAUGGAGGUGUGGUUCCCACAUCAAUGGAGCUGUGUUCCCAGGAAGACUAUGGCUGCCUCUGCUGUGUCAUGCAGUUCCUCUGGCAACCCUCCCCAAGGAUCCUUCCUAGGCAAGGCAGAAAUGGCUUCCUUGUGGAUCCAGAGAGCCCACAGGGCUUUUCCCACUGCUUCCUCUGCCCCAGUAUUUCACUCGGCUCUCUAAACUGACUCAGCUCCAGGAAAUAUUGAAAAUGGACAUGUGAAGCUCAUUGUUAUACAUUUAAAAAAUAACAGAGAACACCUACCUCUUAUUGGAAAAGUUGGCCUCUCGUGGAAAACUGAUAUUUUUGAUGGCUGUAUAAAGAGUUGUUCCAUGAUGGACGUAACUCUUUUGGAUGAACAUGGGAAACCCUUUUGGUGUUUCAGUUCCCCGGUGUGCCUGAGAUCGCCUGCCACACCCUCUGACAGCUCUAGCUUCUUGGGACAGACAUACAACGUGGACUACGUUGAUGCGGAAGGAAGAGUGCACGUGGAGCUGGUGUGGAUCAGAGAGACCGAAGAAUACCUUAUUGUCAACCUGGUCCUUUAUCUUAGUAUCGCAAAAAUCAACCAUUGGUUUGGGACUGAAUAUUAGCAGUAGGUGGCAAAUUAUUGUUGUUAUUUAGUUGUUUAUUUUUGACUGGCUUUGUUCUUGGUGUUGAAAAUUAAAAUAAAGCAAAUCUGC
rnacentral:lncRNA from 1 species